GCUGGGCUAACGAAUAAGGAGGGCAGCUGCUUUCUGAGUUGUCCUGAUGUUACUCCAUGUGGGCCGAAGCCUGAAGCCUUCUGAUGAGCCAAGCAAAGAUAAAAGGUGGAACGUGCCCCUCUCGCCUGCUCCCAGGGAAACUCCAUUAUCCUGCCAGGCUCACGUGGCUGCAGCAAAGCCAAUCUGAGUGGCAAGAGGAAGCCCACAAGGACGAGCUCAGUGUGAGCAGAAAAUGAAGUUGUUAGCAGACAGCAAACUGCAGCCCUCGGUUCUUAUGAAUAUUUGAAUGAGUGACUAAAAACAGCUCGGUGGACUCUAAGCAACUGUGACAGCUGAAACUGCCUGGGAAACCAGCAGUCUACAAGGACCAGGAUGAAAAGAUCAGCACUCACAUUUCCACCUACACCACCAGUAUAUUGUAAAACAUGAGCAGGUUCUUGGUCCCCCAAUAUUGUUUAGAAAGAAAAAGACCUUUUUCCUCUGAGUUUUCAUAAGAGGUAUCAACUGAAUCUGGCAAGGAAUUUUGAAUCCAUUGAAGUCCAAUGAUUUCUAACAACCUACUCAAGUGAAUCUUUCAUUAAUAUUUUUCAGCUGGCAAGAACGAUGAUGAGAACAGUUUCCCUGAAGCUAAUUUGUUCUGAAUAAUCUGCACUAAGAAGAACGGAUGAAAGAACCAUAAUAAGUAAACUAAUGAAAGACUGGGGUUGUUUUGUAGCAUUUGGAAAUAAGAGCAAGUGUUAUAAAAAGAACAAAGCAGCUAUAUCUUUUUUUAUUUUAAAAAAGGAUGAAGGAAGGGAAAAGUCUAUUACACUAAAGCGCAACUUUGACAAUGAUUUUUUUUGUUCCUUUUAUUCUCAUAUUUUAUAGAACUGCUUAAAGAUGUGUUUGGUAUGACCUUGAUGGUAUAGACCACAGUUAAUAUGUCCUCUGCUGUGUUCAUAACAUGAACAUUCCUGACUCAGUUGUUUUUGCUGGGAUUUUGCUGCUCCUUACACAGGAGGAGGCUCCAGAAUUGGUUUGGUGUGGUGUUUAAGGUAUUGGCUUUACAGCAAAACUUUGAGGAUGACAUCUUUCUCACAUUUUUUAUUGCUAUUGCAAGUUUACACUAUAAAUCUGACUUGAGAACCAGAUGAAUUGCUCAGAUAAAAUGUAACUGGCUUGCCGUAAAUGAGUAACAAAGAAAGGAGUCUGCUUUUAAAGUAGUAAGAUGAAGAGCCUUUUUAACAAAAACUGCACUUGCAUCUGUCAAAUGGCACUUUGUCCUGGCACUUAUGCCAUUUGGUAGCAGUGAUAUUGGUUUCAGCAGUGCUGGAACUGAGCCCUUUGAAAAAUUGUGGAGUUCCCACCAAACCUGCUCUUGUACAUUCACCAGGAAUGAUGGUGGAAUAAUUGAUCCUGUAGUAAUAAAACACAGCUAUUGACUGGCA